rnacentral:rRNA from 1 species
CAGCAGCCGCGGGAAUACAGAGGAUGCAAGCGUUAUCCGGAAUGAUUGGGCGUAAAGCGUGCGCAGGCGGGUAUAUAAGUCAGAUGUGAAAUCCCCGGGCUCAACCUGGGAACUGCAUUUGAGACUGUAUGGCUAGAGUGUGUCAGAGGGGGGUAGAAUUCCACGUGUAGCGGUGAAAUGCGUAGAUAUGCGGAGGAACACCGAUGGCGAAGGCAGCCCCCUGGGCCAACACUGACGCUCAUGCACGAAAGCGUGGGGAGCAAACAGGAUUAGAUACCCCUGUAGUCCCUGUCUCUUAUAA